UCUCUGGUGGUCAAGUGCCCUUCUCAAAGGCGAACCUCAAGUUCAUGUCUUGUCCUCCAGGCUGGGAAAGGAGAGGGAACUCGGAUGUCACUCAGGCUCAGGGCCUCCGGAGCAGCUGUGUCCCCCUUGCUCAUCCCAGAGAGACCAGGGUCCGGGACGCUAUGCUCAACAUCCUUUCCCACCUUCCGGAGGGCCGGGGUCCUACCCACCACCUGCGGGCUAGUCAUGCCCAAGAAGGUGUGAAAAGAAAAGCAAAGUUUGACGUAAUGGAGAAAAACAAGCCACUGUUUUGGGACCGUGCUGGUGGGGAGGGGAGGGUUUGUUUUUUCUACUGACUUUUGAAGGUAGAGGAAGGUUUAGAGGCCGAUUAGGGGGCCAGGGGAAACGAAGGUUUGGGGGGUAAUGGACAAAAGAAGAAAGACCAGGGGGCCGAGAAAGAAUGAGAGGAGACAAUAGAAGAGCGUCAAUCCAGCCAAGUGGAUUCCCAAAAGUCAAGCUUUUGCUGUCAACCUAGUCUGUUUCCCUCUUCCCCCUCACCCCACACACAGGUUUCCGUGGUCUAGGAUGUCCUCCGCAGACCGUGCAGAAGCAGCAUUAGGAGAAAGCGGAUGAAGAGUAAAGCCCUUGCCAGACAGUUCCUUAAACCUCUCGGGGCAAGCGCACACUGAGGGGAGGAGAGGGAGCAGCAAGGGCUGGUUUUGACCAACAGGUACACUCCAGGCUGCCUGCAUCUUGCUGGCUACUGGUGCAGCAGAGCUGGGCUGUCUGCUGUUUUCCUGGGACCCGCUAGGAGGCCCUGAGGGCACCCAACCUGUGAAAGACAGUGGACAGAGAGAACCUUCUUUGUCAUGGUGCCAGAAAGCUCCAGCAAUCUUGGCAGCACCAGUCAAAGACACCCACUGCUGGGUGUGAGGUGAAGGCUACCACAGCAGUGGCUCAUGUCUGUCUCCGGAGGACAGCCUCUCCGGUGUGACGUACAGAACAGCAUCGCCAGGGCGGUCUAAGCUGCUGCUUUUCAUAUAACAGGAGAGAAGAUUCAGCCUCACUGGUCCCUGAAGUCCUGUGAGGAGACCGAGGAGGAAUCCGGGUGCUGCUGACAAUGCGAGGCAGCCUUAGGGGUCCACUGACUGCCUCGACCAGCAAGGGGACAGGCUAAUUCAGAAGGGGACAAGCAUGCCACGGCCUCACUUAUAACAAUUUACUUCUGCAAAAGCCGAUCCUGCCCCAGAAGACUUAACUGGCCCUCACAAGGCUACCUUCCCGGAACCCUUUCCAGGCUGCCCCAUCCCAAUCACUGCCCACCGGCCCUGUCGGUCACUGGGGGCCAAGCUUCCAGCACAGGGACCUUCUGAGGACAAAGGACCAUUUCAGCACCUUAAGUCAUAGCUUACUCAUCUCCGGGGCUGCAUUUACUGGAUUAUGUUAUGACUUUCCAUUCAGAAUCGAUCUACUCCAAGGCGCAUUAGAAGAGUUCAUUAGCAUCUUUGGCUCCUUCCCUCUGCGUCUCAAGAUUAUUACUGCUUCCCCCCUACCUCCCAGACAGGAUCACACUAUGUGGCCCUAAUGUUCCGGAACUCUCUAUGUAAACCAGUGUGGCCCCAAACUCACAGACAUCCUCCUGCCUCUACCUUCAUUCCUUCCUCGGCUCUACAGAAACACCCAGCAAGUACCACACCCAGAACAGCUCAAAGGGCCUCAGUCCUGAGGUGAUUAAGUGAUCAGAGACGUGAAAAAGUCAGAAAACAGCAGAUAGGGAGGGAGGUAGACAGACAGCAGACAGACAGACAGCAGACAGACGUGGGGCAGGGGGAGGAAGAGAG
rnacentral:sRNA from 1 species